rnacentral:misc_RNA from 1 species
GGAAAAGUCGUAACAAGGUUUCCGUAGGUGAACCUGCGGAAGGAUCAUUAUUGUAUAACCGAGGUGCGAGGGCUGUCGCUGACCCGAAAGGUCGUGCACGCCCGAGUGCCCUCACACACAUCCAUCUCACCCCUAUGUGCACCACCGCGUGGGUCCCCCUUUGGCUUGUUCGGAGGGGGGCUUACGUUUUCACACAAACUUUGUAUGCAGUGUAGAAUGUAUUUUUUGUUUUUGCGAUCACGCAAUCAAUACAACUUUCAACAACGGAUCUCUUGGCUCUC